AAUCGCAAGUCGUCUAUCAACGUGUGGAGAGAGAGAGAGAGAGAGAGAGGGAGAGUAGCAUAAUUUGACAAAGCAACCACCGAGCCGACCUACUUCAGUGCCUCGCCACUUCCAUGUAAGUCCACUAUAACGUGAAGCGACAGCACUCCUUUCGAUCCCUCCUUCACUCUUGCCUGCCAAAUCCCUUCUCUUCUUGUUAACCCAAGAGCGACGACUGCAGCCGACCAGCUUAAAGAGCCAACCAGCAGCAUGGGCCUUCAACACGAGCCUCAGAAGACCUCCUCUAGUGGCCCGGUGGUGAAGAAGGAGAGAUCGGUGGUGAGAUACAAGGAGUGCAGGAAGAACCAUGCCGCUAACGUCGGUGGAUAUGCCGUCGACGGCUGCCUGGAGUUCAUGGCGGCGGGAGAGGAGGGGACGAGUGACGCCCUCAGGUGCGCCGCCUGCAACUGCCACCGGAGCUUCCACCGAAGAGAGGUCGAAACCGUGACUGCGGUUUGUGGAUGCUCCCCCGGCUCCAGUUCCAGGAGAUGAUGGGACUCCGAUCCAUGCCGCGUACAGAACGUGUGCUGUAUAUUAUUGUGAUCGAUCUCACUCUUCUUUCGUGGUGUUUGGAUUUGCGUAUGCGUGGUACUUGUUUGUAUGCUGAAGAUGAUGACGAUGAUGAUGAUGAUACAGUUCAAGUGGAUAGAACUUCUACCUCCUUCCAUGAAGAAGCCAUGGCCUCCAAAAAGGGUUGCUCUAUGUGACCUUUGAUGCCUAAAAAUUCAGAUUGUGUCGUGUGCGUGUGUUGAGUAUACACACACAUAACAGUGCAACUGACUCAGAAAUGUAAAAUGGAUGAAGUAAAUUAUGUUAUCAUGUUGCUUCCUGGUCAAAGUGUUUGUUUUAUUUACUGGCUCAUUUCUUGUGUAACAGCGAAUAUUAAUUUGUAGGUGAAGUGUGAUGAAGGAACAUUAG